rnacentral:rRNA from 1 species
GACGAACGCUGGCGGCGUGCCUAAUACAUGCAAGUAGAACGCAAAGUUUAUACCGUAGCUUGCUACACCAUAGACUGUGAGUUGCGAAAGGGUGAGUAACGCGUCGGUAACCUGCCUGGUAGCGGGGGAUAACUAUUGGAAACGAUAGCUAAUAGCGCCUAAUAUUAAUUAUUGCAUGAUAAUUAAUUGAAAGGUGCAAUUGAAACACUACCAGAUGGAUCUUCGUUGUAUUAGCUAGUAGGUGAGGUAACGGCUCACCUAGGCGACGAUACAUAGCCGACCGGAGAGGCUGGUCGGCCGCACUGGGACGGAGACACGGCCCAGACGCCUACGGGAGGCAGCAGUAGUGAAUCUGCGGCAAUGGGCGAAAGUCUGAGCGAGCAACGCCGCAGGAGUGAGGAGGAUUUUCGGGUCGUAGAGCUCUGUUGUAGGAGAAGAACGGGUGUUAGAGUGGAAAGUUCACACAGUGACGGUAACGUACCAGAAAGGGACGGCUAACUACGUG